UACGAAGGGGGCUAGCGUUGCUCGGAAUCACUGGGCGUAAAGCGCACGUAGGCGGCUUUUUAAGUCAGGGGUGAAAUCCCGGGGCUCAACCUCGGAACUGCCUUUGAUACUGCAAAUCUCGAGUCCGGAAGAGGUGAGUGGAAUUCCUAGUGUAGAGGUGAAAUUCGUAGAUAUUCGGAAGAACACCAGUGGCGAAGGCGGCUCACUGGCCCGGUACUGACGCUGAGGUGCGAAAGCGUGGGGAGCAAACAGG
rnacentral:rRNA from 1 species